rnacentral:rRNA from 1 species
GAUGAACGCUAGCGGCAGGCCUAACACAUGCAAGUCGAGGGGCAUCAGGAACAAUAGCAAUAUUGUUUGCUGGCGACCGGCGCACGGGUGCGUAACACGUAUGCAACCUACCUCAUACGGGGGCAUAGCCCAGAGAAAUCUGGAUUAAUUCCCCAUAAUAUAUAGAUAAGGCAUCUUAUUUAUAUUAAAGUUUCGGCGGUAUGAGAUGGGCAUGCGUCCAAUUAGCUAGUUGGCGAGGUAAAGGCUCACCAAGGCUACGAUUGGUAGGGGGUCUGAGAGGAUGAUCCCCCACCCUGGUACUGAGACACGGACCAGACUCCUACGGGAGGCAGCAGUGAGGAAUAUUGCGCAAUGGAGGAAACUCUGACGCAGCCAUGCCGCGUGAAGGAUGAAUGCCCUAUGGGUUGUAAACUUCUUUUGUACGGGAAUAAACCCUUGCUCGUGAGCGAGGUUGAAGGUACCGUAAGAAUAAGCACCGGCUAACUCCGUGCCAGCCGCCGCCGUAACAC